rnacentral:lncRNA from 10 species
GGCAGGGUGGCCUCAGCCUUAGCCCCUGGGGAGUCUGGAAUGUAAGUUACACCUCAGGGUUUUCCUGCCCUUAGGCGAGGAGCUGGACUUCUAGUGCAGAGCCUGCCAGCCAGGAUGCCUGAGGUAGCAAAGGCACAUCAAAGAGCAGUGGUGUAAACACGGGCCCAGGUGAUCCGAGACCAACUUCAUGAGAAAUGUGAGCUGUGGUCAUCAUCGUUCCCAUGUUGAAGGUGCUUUGCUACCUCUGAUGGGCUGAGAAACACACUGGUCUGAUAUGAAGAGACCCAGAUUACAGCUCCUACAUGACCACUAACUAGCAGUGAGAUUUGGGCCAAGUUGCUCAAUCAUCUCGGG